UACAGAGGUCUCAAGCGUUGUUCGGAUUCAUUGGGCGUAAAGGGUGCGUAGGUGGCGCUGUAAGUCGGGUGUGAAAUUUCGGAGCUUAACUCCGAAACUGCAUUCGAUACUGCGGUGCUUGAGGACUGGAGAGGAGACUGGAAUUCAUGGUGUAGCAGUGAAAUGCGUAGAGAUCAUGAGGAAGACCAGUGGCGAAGGCGGGUCUCUGGACAGUUCCUGGCACUGAGGCACGAAGACCAGGGGAGCAAACGGG
rnacentral:rRNA from 1 species